UUUCCAGACUCCUACGGGAGGCAGCAGUGAGGAAUAUUGGUCAAUGGCCGGAAGGCUGAACCAGCCAAGCCGCGUGAAGGACGAAGGUGCCAAGCAUUGUAAACUUCUUUUGUCAAGGGACAAAAUCAGGCUCGAGAGCCUGACCGAGGGUACUUGAAGAAAAAGCAUCGGCUAACUCCGUGCCAGCAGCCGCGGUAAUACGGAGGAUGCGAGCGUUAUCCGGAUUUAUUGGGUUUAAAGGGUGCGUAGGCGGACUGUUAAGUCAGCGGUAAAAGCCCGAGGCUCAACCCCGGCGAGCCGUUGAAACUGGGUGCCUUGAGUGGGCGAGAAGUACGCGGAAUGCGUGGUGUAGCGGUGAAAUGCAUAGAUAUCACGCAGAACUCCGAUUGCGAAGGCAGCGUACCGGCGCCCAACUGACGCUGAAGCACGAAGGCGUGGGUAUCGAACAGGAUUAGAUACCCCUGUAAAC
rnacentral:rRNA from 1 species